GAGACUGCGAUUGAGCGGAGCUGCGAGACGAGGAGAUAGAGCUGAAGCGCAAAGUAAUGGCCGAUGGCUGUUUGGGUCCCGUGGCGGUGCGAAGCCCUCUCCUCCGCUUCUUGUCGCCCCCAAUCCCUUUCCCUUCGUCACCUCCUCCUCUGUCUCUAUCCUCCCCAGGGCGGCGGGGCAUUGUAACGGUGCUUCCUCUCCACGUGUGGUCUCUUCUUUCUCUCCGAGCCCUAACCCUGAUCUCUUCAAUUCCUGCAUCAAGAUCCAACACAGCAAUUCCAAAGAAUAUGUCUUCCGAUGAUUUCAUGAUCGUUUACAGCCUUCUUGAUACCACCUGUUUUUUAUAGUUAGAUGUGUUCUUGGUCCAAUCAUGUUUUUGUUUUAAUUCUUGGAUAGCUUCCAACAUAGAAAUCCAAAAGAGCGAGUCUUGCGGUGGUUUUUUUGAUUUUAGAAAGAAAAAGGUAAAGUACAAGAAGGUGUUAAGGAUAUCCGUGAAGGUAGAUAGAAUGACAACGUCGAUGCUUUCUUGAUUGUUAACGUCACUCUUUCCAAAAGGAAAAGGUAAAUUGCAAGAAGGAUCUAAACAGAGAGAUCUUGAUCGCUAAUAGGCAUAUCGUCCACGAACACAGAAAAAGUACCCGAAGGUUUCAAGGAGACUCCAUAAAAAGAGAUAGUUUCGGCUCUCGCAAUGCUUUCUUGAUUGCCAAUAGCAUUCUUGUCUAAAAAAACGAAAAAAGAAAUUUCACGAAUGUUAGAAGGAGUUCCACCAAGAGCAGCAGCUGUUCAUAAAGGAGUCCUCAUGUACAGCUUAGGUACAAAUUGACAGCUCAAUCUUUUAUUAUGUGGCAUUUAAUCAGAUGUUGUUGAAAGAAUGAUUGAUUCUGUCAUCAGUAGGGAAAUGAAGAGAUGAAUGGAGGCCACGAAAUUGUGGACAGAUUAAGGCCUUACCUGCUAAUUUGGAGGGAAAACAAGAUUAACCAAUCAUUAACUCCCAGAAAACCACUAUGAGUUUUUCAUGGUCAAGAUGUAGUAGGUGCGAAGGGCUGCUAGAAUAAGGGAAGAAGGAAGCUGUUUUAUGACAGGUUCCCGGAGGAUGAAUUCUUUUAACAGAUAGACACUGCCGUGAACCCUAUGUGCUUACCUGUGUUCGAUCAAGAAGCUUUGCUUCCAUAGUAAGCAAAAUAGAUUGUACGCCUACCCAAAAGUCUCAAGGAAUUUAUGCAUAUAUGUUGAUAAUUUGUUUAUUCUUUUGAUGAUUUGUCGUUAUGUUCAUAUGCUUGUGACACUUCCAUGAUGUUUUUAACUUUUUUUUUUUUUAAAGUUUGCAUUCUGUAUAGAUUAGCUUAUAAGCAGAUGGGCACUAGACACUCAGUAUUCAUUUCUUCCCCUGAUAUGCCUACUAUCCUGUUCUGCCAUGUAAUGCCCAAGCUAUCUCCUAAUGUAGUCCAAACUCUACCCUUCAGGGUUCCCUAGUAGUCACCUAUUUAGUAGCUGGCCUACGCAUAGGAAGUUAGACCUUAAGGAAGGUGGCCAGGCGACUGCAACUUGCACAGUAAACGGACAUCUUCCGAAUUCAUCUGGCUUAGAUGUAGGUCUUCCCUGAUGCUAACCCUACAGUUUGGGAGCAGUUGAGUAUGGUAGAUUGCAUUGUCUAUGCUAUGGGCUCUCUUUUCACUUCCAUCUGUCUGUCAUUGGUAAUGCCAUGGUUCAUAAUUUAUCCUGUUUUCAGCGUUAGUGGAUCUUCUUAAUAUGCCAUCUUUCAAUAAUGUCAUGCGCUGUACAUUAUGAGGAAUUCUGGAUGGUUUUUAUGCUGUACUAGAAUUGGUGUCUAUGUUAUGCUAGAUCAUGUCCAUUUAUGAGCUUGCAGUGAUCUGAUCUGUUACAAACAUAUUUGGAUGAUCCAAUGUUGGUUUUAAUUAUGAAAUGUAUUUUGUGUCAGCUUUUCAAUUUCGAUGACCGACAUUGCUGUACUGCACAUUUCUUUAGGUUUCUCUACAACAUGCAAGUCCAUCUACCACCCUGCAUCAUAUUUUUUUGUUCAAUAUCACUUCCAUUUGACUCAUCUUUCUUGGUAUCUGUGUCAUGGGAAUCAGAUCUUCUAGAAUGAUAGUAAACAACAGGUCAAAAAUUGUAUCGACAUUGUUUUGUACGUGUAUGUUCAUAAUCCUAGAACAAAGGGUUCUGAUUGUAUCAGCUAGGUCAGCCAUUGAGUCUAUCGAAUAGGCUAACUACCUGGUGUUCUUACAUGAAUUUUGGAUUACUUUAGUGUAUCGAGGUAUCAAGUUAAAUAACCAGGUGAUGGAUGUUUUGGAAGAGACCCAUAUUAGUUAUCAGGUUUAUCAAACUAUACUUCAAAAAACAUUUGAAACUGAUCUGACCUCUGAAACUCUUUUGUAUUGAUUUAAUGCCAAAACUGACCAGUUUUAGACUAGUUUCAAGUGAAAACUAACCAUGAAUAACAGUGCCUGUUUUGAGCACUAAAUUCUAGGUGUUAAAUCUAUCCAAAGGAGAAUUUUCUUAGGAUCGAAUGUACGUUUGCUCACUUUGCUGCAAUAUCUUAAGUUUGCUCACUUUGUUGCAAUAUCUUGAGUUUGCUCACUUUGCUGUAAUAUCUUAAGUUACUGGAAGAGUUCUAUUCCAGAAAUACAGGAUGCACACCCUGCUGCCACCUGAUGCCCAUCCCACCUCAACACCCCGGAGCUUGAUUAGCAAAUAUAAUCUGAAACAUUACGCAACUAUUUACAAUUUUAUUAACAAAUGCUGUAGCUUAUAAUUUAUAAUUUGGUAUUUGGUACUUAAUAUAAUGCUAACCAACAUAUCAAAUUUAUAUUAAUAUUUAACUUUAUGUAUGAAUGUUUCUGUCUAAGAUCUAUGGUGUAACAUAUUAGGCAGUCAGAUUUUUAUUAAACAAUGGAACAUGUUAUACUCUAAGUUGGUGCAUAACAUGAUGCUUAACAUUUUCUUUGGUUUAUAAUGAGAUUUCUUUCCCUUUUUGCAAUUCUUGAUAGUUUGUUCUGAAAAUAUUGGGACCCGUACUUCCAGAAAUUUCAAAUGUUACAAAAUAAUCUAAAAUUAUGUGCUAUAUGAUUUUUUGGAUUUUUUUUUUAUAUUUUCUUUCUUUCCUCCCCUGCUUUUCCUGUGUCUAUCGUUUUUCUUGUCCAAUAAUCUGGGGCCUGGAUUGGAACUGCCAAAAACAAAACUUUAUGGGCUCGGCUGAAACCCAAGCUGACUCUGCAAACCUUAUUUCAAAAUGUGGGGCAAAUACCGAGAGGGGUGGGUUUUUUACAUUUCUAAGUGUGCAUUGCUUUUGCAGAAGGUUUAAAGAACACUAUUUUCACAUUAUUUGACCAAUGUAAAAUCACAAAGAAAGUCUUUAACUAACCUUUUAGGAUUCUAAAGCCUGCAAUUUGUUGUUGGUUUCAUUAACUCAACCACAUCAAACUCGAAGUCUGAGAUUUUAACUCUGGAUCAGUUUAUGCUACCUCAUUUGUGGCAGUUUGAUUUGAUAUUCAAACUUUGCAAAAAUAACUAUUAAUGCUAUUUCUUUGUUUUUUUUAUUUAACAGUUAUUUUUUUUAUCCAUGCAUUCAACUUAUUUCUUAUCAUCUAUUUUAUUUGUUUAUCAUCAUGAAAAUCAUGCCCGUCCUUUCCUAAGACUGGUGCUCAAGUGGUAUUCUGUACUUAUAAUCAUGAAAGUGUAAUUAAUGUAUUUCAGCAUCAGCUCUGAUAGAAUAGGCGUUUUCCAGCACUAUCUGUUUCUUUGCAUUAUCAUAUAUUCUUCUAGAUAUUGCUUGUAUUGUUCUGUUAAGUUCUUGUCUUCCAUAAGAUGCUUUUAUUUAGAGAAAGUUCUCUCUUUUCCUAAUAUUUAAGAUGCUCCCAGGUAUUGCCAGGCAUUGGUGAGUCUAUUGCUUUGAGAUUUAUACCCAAGUUGCUGAAUAUUUGCGUAUAACGAGCUCUUAAUUUUCAGAUGUUAGGAUAUUUUUUCCCAAAAAUCAUAUCAUCACUUGCUUGCAUUUCAAUUGAAAGUUUUUGGUACCACAGAUGUUUCCCAAUGCCUCUUUCACUAUUAUCUCCAUAAAAGGAUGUAUUAAGGAUGUAAAAGACUUGAGCUGAUAAACUUUCUAUGUGUGACCUAUUGAAACUUAGCAGAAAUCUUAGCAUUUUACAGGGCUAUUGCCAAAGCUAUGCCAUAUAAUUAUGAGCUGCUUGUAGUGGAAUAUUAUUGAAUCCCAAUUAAAAUGGUACCUCAUCAAGGUAUUGGCUGUUGACAUAAGACCGCCCUGAAAUGUUUUAGAAAUCUUGCAUGAAGAAGCAAAUGACCAUGUUGUUUGGGAUUCCCUAGACUAUCUGGUUAUGAUGAACGUUCUAAUAACUUACAAGUAGGGAAGAGGGGAAGCGGGAUUUGAGUGUUCAAUACAUAGUUUUGACUUGGAAAUGCCAUGAAUUGCUUAAUGACUUAUGGGCGUUUCAUCAUUGGACAUGUCAUGACUUCAGUUCUACUUGUGAAGAAGUUUCUCUCUGAAAGAUAUCACUGGAGGUAGGAGCGGAUUUUUUUAGUGCUUGAUAAUAAAAAGUAUCUUGGCUUAGGUCCCCUCCAUAAAUUCUCUAGCAUCUUUAUACUGAUAAAAAGUUAAAAGAAAGCAAUUAUAUGUGUAAUGUGCAAUGCAAAAACCAUCAGCACAAACUUUUUGAAGUUUGAACAGAUGAACUCUCAAGACCAAUAUAGAGACCAAAUUGUAUGUGCGGACCACUUUAUCAUCUAUCUGAUUUUUUUUUGAAAAUUAUCAAAGUUGGAUUCUAGUUACUUUCAUUGGGUUGGGAUUCAUCUAUCUUGAUGGUGAAUUCAAUUAAAAGGCCAACAGCUUAACUACCUAUCAUUCAAAAUAUUUCAAUGUUAUUACUGAUUGUUGUAUCCUGGAGAAAUCUUACCAGUUGUCAUGACACAGAGAAAACUGGACAGUUGUAUAUAAUUAUUGACCCCUUAUGCAUGUGUUGUAUUGUUAUGUUGAUUAGGCAUUAUUUUUUUCUUUUCUGCAUUCACUUGAAAUAAACUAUGUUAUUCAUAUAGCACAGGCAUGCAUUGCUUGGCAAGAAUUGUCACAUGUGAAAGGUUAUUUUGUUUCCCAUGCUUAUGGUUUCAUGGAGCCAAUCAGAACAGUAUAGAGUCAGUGUGAUAUUUAAUAUGGACACACCUGGACUUGCAUAAUAACUUCCCCCACAGGAAUUACAACAUUUGCACUUUGUCAUCUUAUCCUUCUCAAUAAAUAGUACUUUGAGUAAAGGUUUAAGUAGCACAUUUAAUUUUCUUCCAUGUUAGAUUACGUUGCUUUGCUUUUUAUUUAUUGAAUAGUGGUGAACAAGAUUGACCGAUUUAUCAUCUCUUACAAUAUACACUCUAGGUUUUAUGUUACUUCUGCUGUAUAUAGGUACUUCUCUUAAAUGGUUGAUGUUAUAGAGAAACUACUGCUUUAUCUUCUUCUGGCUUUGUAACUGCAGUAACAGAUGCUCUAAAUCGAACUUAUGGGGACCCUGUUAAUAGUCUAAAGGAACUCAUGCAGUAGAUAGGAAAAUAUACGCCAUAUCAUGCUGAUUAUGAAGCCAUUUUCGAAGCUAUGAAGAAAAUGAGAUCGGUGGCUGUGAACUGGAAGGGAACCAUUUGAUAACUAAUCAUGGAUUUAUCUUUACAUAUAAAUUAUAUUCUCCAUCAUGCAUUAUUGUUGGCUUGUGCAUCAUAGAUUCUUUUAGUGCAUGUUUGCCAUUUUAGUGUAUUUUUCUAAUUUUUAUAGUUGUGUGUUAUUUAUUCAAACGCCCGAACAAUGUUCAGACAUGUAUCAAUUUGUAGGAACUAUUAUGUGUCCUUUCACAGUGCUUUGUACUUAAAUUAUUUCAGUCGAUUUGUAAGCUUUUAUGAAUCGAUCUUACAGUGUUCUGUAGGCCAAUUUGACACGAGACAUCAUCUUGAAAAUUUUAGAUAAUUAUCCAAAUCUCAGUUUACCACUUCUGUGCAUGUUUUUGAGUUUUAUCCUGUUUCUGUAUUUCUUGACCCUGCUUUGGCAUUUUCUUGCCUUUAUUCUUCCAACUUUUACUUAUUGAUCUCAGCAUCUUCAUUAUGCUUUUUCGCCCUACCAAAAGGUUGUUUGUGGUUCUGCCCUGGUUGUUUGAAUUCAACUUUAUCCAAACUUGUAUAUUACAUGGAUUAUGUACUUGAAAAGGAGGAAAACAUAUUUUUUGGAAUAUUCUCAGUCAUAAAUUUCAAUUGACACGUCAACUCUCUUUAAGCUUAAAUUUUAUUAGCAUAAAUUUUAUAUCACCUAUGAAGUAUCUUGGUCCAUGUUCCUUGGGGUUAUAUUUCAUACGCUUAUCUAUGCUUGGUUAGCUUUCUUGACCAACAUGCCCAUCAGAAUAAAGUCGACUAAAGUGAUUCCUGAAACCGAGUGCCGCAAAGUAAUUUAAAAAUGGCAUAACAUCAUGUUUUAGGAAAUAUCUUCAUUAUAACUUUGAAUAUUGUUAGGUCAGUUUGAAACUUGUUUUGGAUCAAAUCAAUGGGCCACGGCUCGUGCUUGGAUCUGGGGCCACGGCUCGUGCUAUUGGUGAACGCGUCCAUGGGCGGGUCCACAAGGACGCAGCAGAGAGGGAGCGACGGUUCCAAAUCUUCCAGGACAGCUACGAGUACAUCGAAUCUGUCAAUAGAGCCGGCGAUAGCAGGUAGAAGCUCGGCCUCAACCAGUUUGCGGACAUGACCAACGAGGAGUUCGAGGUCUCUCGUCUGUGCGUUGGAAACCUGUUGGUCAACAACAAGGGGACCGUGAUGUUGAAAACGAUGGAUGCGACGGGGGAGAUUUGGCCAAGGCUUUCGAUUAAUCGUGGCAAUAGUGCUUUUUUAGGCAAGGCACGUAAGGGCGUCGAGACUUGCUCCUAUACCAGUAGUCGUACUGCUAUGUCUUGACAAAUCAAUCAAUGAUUUUAGUAAUUAUAUUCACUCUGUGCUUCAUUUGGUAAACAAUUUUCUGUUGUUCUUGCCAAUCACCAAAUAACUAAUACAAUCAUCUGGAAGAAAGAUUUCUGGAUCA